rnacentral:rRNA from 1 species
GGUUGAUCCUGCCAGUAGUCAUAUGCUUGUCUCAAAGAUUAAGCCAUGCAUGUCUAAGUAUAAACUUUUAUACGGUUAAACUGCGAAUGGCUCAUUAUAACAGUUAUAGUUUACUUGAUAAUCUUUUUACUACAUGGAUAACCGUGGUAAUUCUAGAGCUAAUACAUGCGGAAAGACCCUACUUUAUGGAAAGGUCGUAUUUAUUAGAUAAAGAACCAAUAUUUUUUUUUGGUGACUCAUAAUAACUUUACGGAUCACAAUAAUUUAUUUUGUGACAUAUCAUUCAAGUUU